rnacentral:rRNA from 1 species
CGGACGGACUAAUUGGGGCUUGCUCCAAUUAGUUAGUGGCAGACGGGUGAGUAACACGUGGGAAUCUGCCCAUCAGUACGGAAUAACUUUUAGAAAUAAAAGCUAAUACCGUAUAUUCUCUACGGAGGAAAGAUUUAUCGCUGAUGGAUGAGCCCGCGUCAGAUUAGGUAGUUGGUGAGGUAACGGCUCACUAAGCCGACGAUCUGUAGCUGGUCUGAGAGGAUGAUCAGCCACACUGGGACUGAGACACGGCCCAGACUCCUACGGGAGGCAGCAGUGGGGAAUAUUGGACAAUGGGCGAAAGCCUGAUCCAGCAAUACCGAGUGAGUGAUGAAGGCCUUAGGGUUGUAAAGCUCUUUUAGCAAGGAAGA